rnacentral:lncRNA from 1 species
AUAAUGCCAGUAAGUGCGAUUUCUCUCAUUCCUCCUUUUUUUCCAUUCUAAGCUACCCAAAAAACUCUUUAAUACAAAAAAACCUGAGAAAGGCCGUAACCUGAUAAAACGGAGGGUAGAGCUUAACUGAGUCGCUGCAUCAAAAAUCGAAAAAUACUCUGGUAAGCCGAAUUCUCUUCCCGUUUAUUUUGUUUUCCUCACUCUUUAGCCGCAUAAUCUAUUUUCGAUGCAGGGCAACCGAAAAAGCCACGAGUCGCAAGAGAAAAUUAACAGAGCCCAGUUGAGCCACCGCAUCGAAGAUCAAAAAACACCGAUAAGCCUCAGUUUU